rnacentral:rRNA from 1 species
GAUGAACGCUGGCGGCGUGCCUAAUACAUGCAAGUCGAGCGAACAGAUGAGGAGCUUGCUCCUUUGACGUUAGCGGCGGACGGGUGAGUAACACGUGGGUAACCUACCUAUAAGACUGGAAUAACUCCGGGAAACCGGGGCUAAUGCCGGAUAACAUGUUGAACCGCAUGGUUCUACAGUGAAAGGCGGCUUUGCUGUCACUUAUAGAUGGACCCGCGCCGUAUUAGCUAGUUGGUGAGGUAACGGCUUACCAAGGCAACGAUGCGUAGCCGACCUGAGAGGGUGAUCGGCCACACUGGAACUGAGACACGGUCCAGACUCCUACGGGAGGCAGCAGUAGGGAAUCUUCCGCAAUGGGCGAAAGCCUGACGGAGCAACGCCGCGUGAGUGAUGAAGGUCUUCGGAUCGUAAAACUCUGUUAUUAGGGAAGAACAAAUGCGUAAGUAACUGUGCGCGUCUUGACGGUACCUAAUCAGAAAGCCACGGCUAACUACGUG